rnacentral:rRNA from 1 species
GGAAUUGUUCGCAAUGGGCGCAAGCCUGACGACGCAACGCCGCGUGGAGGAUGAAGGUCUUCGGAUUGUAAACUCCUGUUGCCCGGGACGAAAAGCUUCAACCUAAUACGUUGAAGUCUGACGGUACCGGGUGAGGAAGCCCCGGCUAACUCUGUGCCAGCAGCCGCGGUAAUACAGAGGGGGCAAGCGUUGUUCGGAAUUACUGGGCGUAAAGGGCGCGUAGGUGGCCUGCUAAGUCGAACGUGAAAUCCCUGGGCUCAACCCAGGAACUGCGUCCGAUACUGGUUGGCUUGAAUCCGGGAGAGGGAUGUGGAAUUCCAGGUGUAGCGGUGAAAUGCGCAGAUAUCAGGAGGAACACCGGUGGCGAAGGCGGGUCUCUGGGCCGAUACUGACGCUGAGGAGCGAAAGCGUGGGGAGCGAAC